GAUGAACGCUGGCGGCGUGCCUAAUACAUGCAAGUCGAGCGAACAGAUGAGGAGCUUGCUCCUCUGACGUUAGCGGCGGACGGGUGAGUAACACGUGGAUAACCUACCUAUAAGACUGGGAUAACUUCGGGAAACCGGAGCUAAUACCGGAUAAUAUAUUGAACCGCAUGGUUCAAUAGUGAAAGACGGUUUUGCUGUCACUUAUAGAUGGAUCCGCGCCGCAUUAGCUAGUUGGUAAGGUAACGGCUUACCAAGGCAACGAUGCGUAGCCGACCUGAGAGGGUGAUCGGCCACACUGGAACUGAGACACGGUCCAGACUCCUACGGGAGGCAGCAGUAGGGAAUCUUCCGCAAUGGGCGAAAGCCUGACGGAGCAACGCCGCGUGAGUGAUGAAGGUCUUCGGAUCGUAAAACUCUGUUAUUAGGGAAGAACAAAUGUGUAAGUAACUAUGCACAUCUUGACGGUACCUAAUCAGAAAGCCACGGCUAGCUACGUG
rnacentral:rRNA from 1 species